GGUUCGAUUCUGGCUCAGAUUGAAUGCUGGCGAUGCUUUACACACAUGCAAGUCGAACGGCAGCAUGGACUUCGGUCUGGUGGCGAGCGGCGCAGGGGUGAGUAAUGUAUCGGAACGUGCCUGGUAGUGGGGAUAACUACGCGAAAGCGUAGCCAAUACCGCAUACGCCCUUCGGGGAAAGCAGGUUCUUCGGGCCUCGCACUAUUAGAGCGGCCGACAUCGGAUUAGGCUAGGUUGGUGGGGUAACGGCUCACCAAGGCGACGAUCCGUAGCUGGUUUGAGAGGAUGACCACACACUGGGACCGAGACACGGCCCAGACUCCUACGGGAGGCAGCAGUGGGGAAUUUUGGACAACGAAACUCCCGAUCCAGCCAUCCCGCGUGUGUGCGAUGAAGGCCUUCGGGUUGUAAAGCACUUUUGACAGGAAAAGAAACGGCACGGAUAAUACCCUGUGCAACUGACGGGCACUUGCAGAAUACCACGGCGCCGCCAACUACGUGCCAGCAGCCGCGGUAAUACGUAGGGUGCAAGCGUUAAUCGGAAUUAUCGGUGAAGCGUGUGGAAGUGUUCGGAAAGAAAGAUGAAAUCCCAGAGCUUAACUUUUGAACUGUAUUUUUAAUCUACCGAGCUAGAGUGUGUCAGAGGGAGGUGGAAUUCCGUAAGUGUGUAGCAGUGAAAUGCGUAGAUAUGCGGAGGAAUAUUUCGAUGGCGAAGGCAGCCCCUGGGAUAGCCACGACUAUGCACGAAAGCGUGGGGAGUAAACAGGAUUAGAUACCUCCUGGUAGUCCACGCCCCAAACGAUGUCAACUAGCUGUUGUGCCUUGGCCUUGGUAGCGCAGCUAACGCGUGAAGUUGACCGCCUGGGGAGUACGGUCGCAAGAUUAAAACUCAAAGGAAUUGACGGGGACUCGCGUCAAAGCGGUGGAUGAUGUGGAUUAAUUGAUGCCGCAAACGCGAAAACCUUACCUACCCUUGACAUGUCUGAAUCCCGAAGAGAUUUGGAGUGCCUCGCAAGAGAACCGGAACACAGGUGCUGUAUGGCUGUCGUCGCCUGUGUCGAGAUGCUGGUUGAGUCCUGCAACGAGCGCAACCUUCUUGUCAUUAGUUACAUGAAAGGGUACUCUAUCGAGACUGCCGGUGACAAACCGGAGGAAGGUGGGGAUGACGUCAAGUCCUCAUGGCCCUGGCGUGUAGGCUUCGCGACGUCAUACAAUGGUCGGGACAGAGGGUCGCCAACCCGCGAGGGGGAGCCAAUCCCAGAAACCCGAUCGUAGUCCGGAUCGCAGUCUGCAACCUGACUGCGCAAGAAGUUUGGAAUCGCUAGUACUCGCGGAUCAGCAUGUUCGUGGUGGAUACGUUCCCGUCUUGUACACACCGCCUGGUCAUACUGCUGGAGUGGGUUUUACCAGAAGUAGUUAGCCUAACCGUAAGGAGGGCGAUUGCCACGGUAGCAUUCAUGACUGGGGUGAAGUUGCAACAAGGU
rnacentral:rRNA from 1 species